AUCCUAUGAAUAUGAGGAAGCCUCAGGAAGGGCCUCGCCCAUACAGAAACACCCUUCCCUAUCCUAACGCCCCCGGUCCUCACCCAUCUCAUUUAGCUGACUCCCAACUUCUAUAGCUGCAGACCUACGCCCCUCGAGCCUCCACUCUGUGCAACACCCAGCCCCGCCUCUUAUUCGGUAUUCAGGGUCCAAGAAGCACCUAGCUAAGCUGGAAUGGCCUCGAACUGGGACGAGGCCUGGAACCUGCUUCCCCUCCAGAUCCUAGUCCAGCAGUGGCCCCCAUUGUGACUGGGGGACCACCCUCCCCAGGGCCUGGUGCCUACCUAAGCCGGAAAGCUCGACUCUCCUUCCGCCACCAGCUGCACGAUGUGGCAUCAGCCAAUGACUCUACCAUUUGAAAGGGACAACAAGGGCUAAACUUUAUUCCAGGAAGUCUUGGCAACCUUCUGUCACCACAUUUCUCAGUGGUCCCAAAUCUGUCAUGACCUCAUUAAACUUGUUUAGAGUUGCA